rnacentral:rRNA from 1 species
UGCCAGACUCCUACGGGAGGCAGCAGUGAGGAAUAUUGGUCAAUGGCCGGAAGGCUGAACCAGCCAAGCCGCGUGAAGGACGAAGGUGCCAAGCAUUGUAAACUUCUUUUGUCAAGGGACAAAAUCAGGCUCGAGAGCCUGACCGAGGGUACUUGAAGAAAAAGCAUCGGCUAACUCCGUGCCAGCAGCCGCGGUAAUACGGAGGAUGCGAGCGUUAUCCGGAUUUAUUGGGUUUAAAGGGUGCGCAGGCGGGCUGUUAAGCCGGCGGUAAAAAUUCAGGGCUCAACCCUGUCGAGCCGUCGGAACUGGCAGUCUUGAGGGGGCGAGAAGUAUGCGGAAUGCGUGGUGUAGCGGUGAAAUGCAUAGAUAUCGCGCAGAACUCCGAUUGCGAAGGCAGCAUGCCGGCUCCACACUGACGCUGAGGCACGAAAGCGUGGGUAUCGAACAGGAUUAGAUACCCGGGUAGC